rnacentral:rRNA from 1 species
AUAAUAAAUAGCCGCAAUUCGUGCUAAGGUAGCAUAAUCAUUUGYCUUUCAAAUGAAGACUAGAACAAAAGAUUUAACAUUUUAAUUAAUAUAUCUAAUAUAAAAAUUUAAUUUUUAAAAGUAGUAAAAAUACUACUAUAACAAAGAAAGACGACAAGACCCUAUUGAACUUAACUUUAGUUAAACUGGGGCAGUAAAUUAAUUAUAAUUUUAAUACAAAUAAAAUAAUAAAAAUCCUUCAUAUUAGAUUAAUCAAGUUACCAUAGGGAUAACAGCGCAAUUACUUUUUAAAGCUCUUAUAUUAAAAAUAGAUUACGACCUCGAUGUUGAAUUAAUAACCUAAAUAAGGCAAAUCUUAAAUAAGGAAGUCUGUUCGACUUUUAAAAAAUUACAUGAUUUGAGUUCAGACCGGUGUAAGCCAGGUCGGUUUCUAUCUUCUAUACAGUUUUUUACAGUACGAAAGGACCUAAAAAUAUAAUAUCAUUAACUAAUUGGCAGAAUAAUGCAUUAGAAUUAGAAUCUAAACACACUAUU